rnacentral:rRNA from 1 species
UCCGUAGGUGAACCUGCGGAAGGAUCAUUAACACAAACUGUGGCUGCGGAUGUGCACGUCGCCCUGCCUCCAAGCGGGGAUCAACGAUUGCUGCUGCCGCUCCACAUUUGGAUCCAUAUCCAUUUACCCCUGUGAACUGUUAAAGUCUUUCCAUCGUGAAAUUAACACCAAUGGAAUGUACUCUGACUGAACACAAGAGGCCAAGUGCGCGUGCGAUUUUUCGCGCAUGCACGACGCUUCGCAAAUCCAAACCAAAAACAACUUUUAACAACGGAUAUCUUGGUUCUCGCAACGAUGAAGAGCGCAGCAAAACGCGAUAUUUAAUAUGAGACGCAGAACUCAGUGAAUCAUCAAAAUCUUGAACGCACUUGGCGCCCUCGAGUCUCCGGGCUCUGGGGCAUAUCUGUUUGAGUGUCAACAAACCCCCCUCACAAAACUCCAACUUUCGGGUUGGGUUCAAACUGUGGACGUUGGUCGCUGUGCCUAACCAUAUACUGGUGGGUACACCGGCUCAAGCCGAGUGGUGAGAGGCUCGCGAAUCGCUCCUCGAACACUGACUGGGUAAGUUUCCUCUGGGGGAAAC